GACGAACGCUGGCGGCGUGCCUAAUACAUGCAAGUCGAGCGCAGGAAACUGACGGAACUCUUCGGAGGGAAGGCAGUGGAAUGAGCGGCGGACGGGUGAGUAACACGUAAGGAACCUGCCUCAAGGAUUGGGAUAACUCCGAGAAAUCGGAGCUAAUACCGGAUAGUUCAACGGACCGCAUGGUCCGUUGAUGAAAGGCGCUCCGGCGUCACCUUGAGAUGGCCUUGCGGUGCAUUAGCUAGUUGGUGGGGUAACGGCCCACCAAGGCGACGAUGCAUAGCCGACCUGAGAGGGUGAUCGGCCACACGGGGACUGAGACACGGCCCAGACUCCUACGGGAGGCAGCAGUAGGGAAUCUUCCACAAUGGACGAAAGUCUGAUGGAGCAACGCCGCGUGAGUGAUGAAGGUUUUCGGAUCGUAAAACUCUGUUGUAAGGGAAGAACACGUACGAGAGGGAAUGCUCGUACCUUGACGGUACCUUACGAGAAAGCCACGGCUAACUACGUGCCAGCCGCCGCGGUAACAC
rnacentral:rRNA from 1 species